AGAAUCAACGCUGGCGGCGUGCCUAACACAUGCAAGUCGAACGCGAAAGGGGCGCAAGCCCUGAGUAGAGUGGCAAACGGGUGAGUAACACGUGGGUGACCUGCCUUCGAGUGGGGGAUAACGUUCCGAAAGGAACGCUAAUACCGUAUGACAUCCUGCGUUUGGAGACGCGGACAUCAAAGCUGGGGAUCGCAAGACCUGGCGCUCGGAGAGGGGCCCGCGGCUGAUUAGCUAGUUGGUGGGUAAUGGCUCACCAAGGCGACGAUCAGUA
rnacentral:rRNA from 1 species